GACGAACGCUGGCGGCGUGCUUAACACAUGCAAGUCGAACGGAAAGGCCCUGCUUUUGUGGGGUGCUCGAGUGGCGAACGGGUGAGUAACACGUGAGUAACCUGUCCUUGACUGUGGGAUAACUUCAGGAAACUGGGGCUAAUACCGGAUAGGAGCUCCUGCUGCAUGGUGGGGGUUGGAAAGUUUCGGCGGUUGGGGAUGGACUCGCGGCUUAUCAGCUUGUUGGUGGGGUAGUGGCUUACCAAGGCUUUGACGGGUAGCCGGCCUGAGAGGGUGACCGGCCACAAUGGGACUGCGAUACGGCCCAGACUCCUACGGGAGGCAGCAGUGGAGAAUAUUGCACAAUGGGCGGAAGCCUGAUGCGGCAACGCCGCGUGCGGGAUGACGGCCUUCGGGUUGUGAACCGCUUUCGCCUGAGACGAGGCGUGAGUGACGGUAAUGGGUAAAGAAGCACCGGCUAACUACGUG
rnacentral:rRNA from 1 species